rnacentral:rRNA from 1 species
GACGAACGCUGGCGGCGUGCUUAACACAUGCAAGUCGAACGGAAAGGCCCUGCUUUUGCGUGGUGCUCGUGUGGCGAACGGGUGAGUAACACGUGAGUAACCUGCCCUUGACUUUGGGAUAACUUCAGGAAACUGCGGCUAAUACCGGAUAGGAGCUCCUGCUGCAUGGUGGUGGUUGGAAAGAUUCGGCGGUUGGGGAUGGACUCGCGGGGUAUCCGCUUGAUGGUGGGGUAGUGGCUUACCCAGGUUAUGAGGGGUAGCGGGCCUGAGAGGGUGACCGGCCACACUGGGACUGAGGGACGGCAGAGACAGCUACGGUAGGCAGCAGUGGGGAAGAUUGCAGAAGGGGCGGAAGCCGGAUGAAGCAACGCCGCGUGCGGGAAAACGGCCUUAGGGGGGUAGACCGCUUUUGCAAGUGACUAAGCGUGAGUGACGGUAACGGGUAAAGAAGCACCGGCUAACUACGUG